GGGCAUGUGGCUCAGGGGUACAGCACUUGUCUAGCACAUGUGAGGCCCUAGGUUUGAUCCUUAGCACCUCA
rnacentral:tRNA from 1 species